rnacentral:rRNA from 1 species
AUUGAACGCUGGCGGCAUGCUUUACACAUGCAAGUCGAACGGUAACAGGCCUUCGGGUGCUGACGAGUGGCGAACGGGUGAGUAAUACAUCGGAACGUACCCAGAGGUGGGGGAUAACGCAGCGAAAGCUGUGCUAAUACCGCAUGUGAUCUGAGGAUGAAAGCGGGGGACCGAGCAGCAAUGUUUGGCCUCGCGCCUUUGGAGCGGCCGAUGUCGGAUUAGCUAGUUGGUGGGGUAAAGGCCUACCAAGGCGACGAUCCGUAGCUGGUCUGAGAGGACGAUCGGCCACACUGGAACUGAGACACGGCCCAGACUCCUACGGGAGGCAGCAGUGGGGAAUUUUGGACAAUGGGCGCAAACCUGAUCCAGCAAUGCCGCGUGCGUGAAGAAGGCCUUCGGGUUGUAAAGCGCUUUUGGCAGGAACGAAACGGUGUCCGCUAAUACCGGGCGCUAAUGACGGUACCUGCAGAAUAAGCACCGGCUAACUACGUG